AUUGAACGCUGGCGGCAUGCUUUACACAUGCAAGUCGAACGAGUGGCGCACGCGUGAGUAUUACAUCGGAACGUGUCCUAUCGUGGGGGAUAACUGAUCGAAAGAUCAGCUAAUACCGCAUACGAUUGGAGCGGCCGAUGCCCGAUUAGCUAGUUGGUGGGGUAAAGGCUCACAAAGUCGACGAUCGGUCGCUGGUCUGAGAGGACGACCAGCCACACUGGAACUGGGACACGGCCCAGACUCCUACGGGAGGCAGCAGUGGGGAAUUUUGGACAAUGGGGGCAACCCUGAUGCAGCCAUGCCGCGUGCGGGAUGAAGGUCUUCGGGUUGUAAACUACUUUUGUCAGGGAGGCGGUACCUGAAGAAUAAGCACCGGCUAACUACGUGCCAGCAGCCGCGGUAAUAC
rnacentral:rRNA from 1 species